CAGCCCUGUGGCGAGCACAUAGCUACAGUUUAUUCUCUCGCCUUUUACCAAAGAAUACCGUGUGCACGCCAAUUAUACGGCGUACGCCAAUUUUUUUCAAAAAAAACAUUCCCUUG